AGAUACUACUGUUCCUCGUCGUUUGGG
rnacentral:piRNA from 1 species